GCUCAAGUAGCCUAGUGGUUAAAGCGUCAGCCACGGAUGCAGGUGGUCGUGGGUUUGAUCCCCGGCCGAGUCA